UAAACGAUGAGUGCUAAGUGUGGAGGGUUUCCGCCUUCAGUGCUGCAGCAAACGCAUUAAGCACUCCGCUGGGGAGUACGACCGCAAGGUUGAAACUCAAAGGAAUUGACGGGGGCCCGCACAGCGGUGGAGCAUGUGGUUUAAUUCGAAGCAACGCGAAGAACCUUACCAGGUCUUGACAUCCUUUGACCACUCUAGAGAUAGAGCUUUCCCUUCGGGGACAAAGUGACAGGUGGUGCAUGGUUGUCGUCAGCUCGUGUCGUGAGAUGUUGGGUUAAGUCCCGCAACGAGCGCAACCCUUAUUGUUAGUUGCCAUCAUUUAGUUGGGCACUCUAGCGAGACUGCCGGUGACAAACCGGAGGAAGGUGGGGAUGACGUCAAAUCAUCAUGCCCCUUAUGACCUGGGCUACACACGUGCUACAAUGGGAAGUACAACGAGUCGCUAGGCCGCGAGGUCAUGCAAAUCUCUUAAAGCUUCUCUCAGUUCGGAUUGUAGGCUGCAACUCGCCUACAUGAAGCCGGAAUCGCUAGUAAUCGCGGAUCAGCACGCCGCGGUGAAUACGUUCCCGGGCCUUGUACACACCGCCCGUCACACCACGAAAGUUUGUAACACCCGAAGUCGGUGAGGUAACCUUUUGGAGCCAGCCGCCUAAGGUGGGAUAGAUGAUUGGGGUGAAGUCGUAACAAGGUAACCA
rnacentral:rRNA from 1 species